AUAUUUUAAAAAAUCAACCUCAGAAAUGAAUAACAGCCCAAAAGAGGUCUGGGAGAGAAGGAAGCUGUAUUGUUGGUACAGAAGCCAACAUAGGAGAAAAGACUUUUAGCCCUCCCUCUCCUCCUGGGAGACACAGUUGAAGGAAGAGCAGCCUGUGAUUCAGAGGGAAGGACACUGAGUCAGAUCCUGCAGGACCAACAGCAUUAAGUGCUACAAAGAGAGACCCUGCUGAGGGGGCCCCUCCUCUCCUCCCCAAGAUCCUGCCAGGAAGGGACUGCCUUUUGUCACAAUUUGGCUGACUGGUGAGUGACACCGAAAUGCUCCAUCUUGCUCAGACUGAAGGACAGUGGCACUAAUCCUAAAGGACAAUAAAGAGUUUUUAAAAGAAAAUGGCUUGAAGUGAAACUGACCAAAAUCUCAUCCAAUAAGGGAACUUAAAGAGUCUUCUGAAUGACAGCAAGUAAGAGGCCUAUCAAUCAAUCCAAGGCGCUCCCUACACCUGCAUACUAUUUCUACCAAUGAGACUUUACCAAACCUAUUAUGAUGCAAAGUGGUGGUGACUCAUAAACCGAGCAUCUCAAUAAUUCUCUUUCCCAUCUUUUUCUCAAUUCCAGGUCAAUUGAGGGUGAAUCCUCAAACCAGCAGGCUUUAAGGAGCACCUUAGGGUUCAGAGCAGACCUUUUUCUUUUUCUGCCAGUGUGUAGCAGAUCUCCUUCUGCAGCCUUGGCUAUGAUCUCCGCUCCUCUCUCUCUCUGCCUUGGCUAUCUGCCUGCUCUCCUGCUGUCCUCAUCUGUAGGAGCUGCACAGCUCAGCAAGAAACUGUUCUUAGUGUGCCCAUCAAAGCACUGGAAGAAAAAGAAUACUGAGAUAGUUGCCUGAAAAGCAGAAGCAGCUCCUGUCACAGUGCCAAAUGCACUCGUUUAAGGAAUUCUGAUUUUACAAAAGGAACUCCCCCAACCCCCAAACUAAAAGUUAAAGAUGAAGAAGCAUCAUGUCUUAAAAUAGACAGUUUUGUGUUUUCUCACUGCAGUCAAAAACAGGGAAAAAAUAAAGGAUAAUUUACCUUUGGGGAGCAGAAAGACUUUGAUUCUUUUAUGACAAUAAGAUGCUCAAAAGAGCCAUAAGUUCCUAGAACAUCUAAAUUGUGUCCUGAAGAUGCUUUGGAAAUAUAGAAGAUUGUUUUUAGCCAAAAGUUCCCAGACCUUUCCUUUCUCUCUUUCCCUUUUUUUUCUUUUUUUUUUUUUUGAGACAGAGUCUCACACUGUCGCCCAGGCUGGAGUGCAGUAGCAUGAUCUUGGCUCACUGCAACCGCCGCCUCCCAGGUUCAAGUGAUUCUCCUGCCUCAGCCUCCCAAGUAGCUGGGAUUACAGGCGCCUGCCACCAUGCCUGGCUAAUUUUUUUGUAUUUUUAGUAGAUACAGGGUUUCAAUUGGGAUCUGAAGCAAAGACAACUAAAAAAUAC
rnacentral:lncRNA from 10 species